rnacentral:lncRNA from 1 species
AAUGAUUAAAGCUUGGCAAACAAGAAUCAAAUUUAAGUUUCUCUUUUAGACAAUCUAGAUUACGCAGAAUAUCAAAUUCAAGAUAACCCAAAGUAUUUAAAGAGGAUAGCAAAUUCAGUUCAUCUUGUGCACAAGUAAUAGGAUGAAAAAGUUUAUCUUCAGCACAUUUGUAUGGUUCCAAACUAAAAUUAUCACACUUAUUCACUACUUGUCGCAUAGGAGUAAAAGAAUCAUAAGCACAAAAAUCAUCUUUAUCACAAGGAACAGCAAGUAAUUCAACUUGUGAAAAAUGUAAAUCAGCAGUGGGUUUCACUAUUUGUUGCUCUUCAUGAACAUGCAGAGUGGACAAAUUUUAAACAUUAUGGGUCAUAUCAUUCUUGCAAUUAUUCACAGAUACGAGAAUCUCCUUUUCAGCAUUGAGAGCAAGACAAAACAAUUGACCAAUAUGCCUAUAAGAAUUACUAAUUAACAAGGUUUGAAUUUCAGAAUUGAGCCCUCUCAUGAACCUACUUAUAACAUCUUCCAUGCAUUCAUCUAAUCCACCAUACAUGAUACAAAAUUUAAAAUCAUGAAAGUAUUCUUUCACAG